rnacentral:lncRNA from 1 species
AUUGUAAAAAAAACCCCACUUCAUUUGCAGUAAAACUUGAUCCACCUUCGAACAUCCAGAUCAACGUCACUGCCAGCAAAUGCCAGAUCUGGUGGAGCGUGCCUUGGUACCUCGUUGAUAUUCUUCAGUAUGAGCUGCAGUAUAAGGAGUACAGCGUGUCCUGGGAGGUUGCAUUGAACAAGACACCACCCAGUUCACUGCCGCAGAUAGAAAUUGAAGCCGCAGAGCUUUGCGUUGAUGUUGCUUACAUCGCACGAGUUCGCUGCAAAGUGUCUGAAAAUGAGGAUUCCUACCAUAGUCAGUGGAGCGAGUGGAGCGAGACAACGCUGUUUCAAAGAGCAGGUGUACCAAAACUGUCUGAAAAUAUCCGAAAUACCAGAACUAUGCAGUUCUUAUUCAUUCCUCUGAGUUUUGGCACUCUACUCUACUUAAUUUGGAACUGCAAGCUUUCUUCAAGGUAUGUUACAUUAAGUUCCCCUUGAUCUUUGUAGCCUGAAGAGGGUAAAUCAAGUGUCCUAAUAUCCCUUUUGUUUCUUGUUUCUUCUGCACAGACUCAGCAGUUGUCAAAAGGUUUUUUUGACAGUCUUGGGACAUGACAUGUUCCUUGGCUGAUGAUAGUUAAUGACCCACUACACAAUCCUUAAGGAGACCAAAGUGC